rnacentral:misc_RNA from 1 species
GCCUAUAUUGACUAUGACUGGCGGUUAUUCUGGUAACGCUGCAAAUGGCAUGCCGCACUGCUGGGAAAAAAAAAGAAUUAGCAGACAAAUUUUUAAAUCCAGCAGUAUAUUUCUAAUAUAAGCCCUCGGAUAGAUAUUUCUUUUUUCUGCGAUGAAUCAAAGAUUGCUCUUUGCUGCAGAAAUGAUUGUGCAAAAGUUAAAUUGUCGUGUAUAUUUUAAGAAAUUAAAUUAUAUUCAACAGUUUUAUAAAUUGCAAAGCAACACUGAUGUUUUCAAAAUAAAAAAAAUGGGUUUUCAUACCAAUCAAGUUAAUUUGGUACAAAAAAAAAGUGUUCCAAUAGUUUUCAUAGAUCGUCAUGGUGUCAAAAUAAAAGUAGAUGCUAAUAUUGGUGAUACAUUGUUAGAUGUUGCAAAAGAUAAUGAUAUAGAUGGUGUAGAAGGAGCAUGUGGUGGUACUUUAGCCUGUUCUACAUGUCACUGUAUAUUCAAGCCUGAGGAUUUUAAGCGGUUGUCAUUGCAAAAUAUAUCAGAUGAAGAGCUAGAUAUGCUAGAUUUAGCUUAUGGAUUAACUGACACGUACGGUCACGCCUUGUUUGUUCAAUAGAAGUAAAUGAAGAAAUGGAUGGUAUAGAAAUAACUGUGCCUUCUGCUUCUACAGAUGCAAGAACCUAGUCUUGGUGUCAAAACAUUUUAUAUCAAUGUUGUAUCAAUGAAACUGGAAAAGUCUAUAUAACGCAGCAUAAUUUGAAGUGGCAGAAAUUUGCGCCAGAUAUGAGUAGAGUAAAUGUUCAAACGAUUGAAGAGAAGUUUAUGUUUGGAUCGCCGCCGCUGCUCAAUGGAUUUUCGUCGUAUUGCUCCUGUCGCUUUGAAGAUAAUUACUCGACCU